GGGCAUUUGGUCUAGUGGUAUGAUUCUCGCUUAGGGUGCGAAAGGUCUCGAGUUCAAUUCUCGGAAUGCCCC
rnacentral:tRNA from 1 species